rnacentral:rRNA from 1 species
CCCUUAGAUGUUCUGGGCUGCACACGCGCUACACUGAAGGGAUCAGCGUGUUCUUUUCCUGGUCCGAAAGGAUCGGGUAACCCGCUGAACCCCCUUCGUGGUAGGGAUCGGAGCUUGCAAUUAUUCUCCGUGAACCAGGAAUUCCCAGUAAGCGCAAGUCAUAAGCUUGCGUUGAUUACGUCCCUGCCCUUUGUACACACCGCCCGUCGCUACUACCGAUUGGACGUUUUAGUGAGGAUUUUGGACUGAGCCAAUGGUGGUUCACACCACUGUUGUGCAUGGAAAGAUCUCCAAACUUGAGCGUUUAGAGGAAGUAAAAGUCGUAGCA